AUGUACCACGCGUACACUGCGGUUCCUCCGCGCCGUCCGCACCCACCUUUGGUAUGAUUUUGUUCUAACCAAGCC
rnacentral:sRNA from 1 species